AGAGUUUGAUUAUGGCUCAGAACGUACGCUGGCGGCACGCCUAACACAUGCAAGUCGAACGAAGUAGCAAUACUUAGUGGCAGACGGGUGAGUAACAUGUGGGUAUCUGCCCUUUGGCCUGGAAUAACACGAGGAAACUUGUGCUAAUACCGGAUAAGUCUUUACGGAGAAAGCUUUAUGCACCAUUGGAUGAGCCCGCACUUGAUUAGUUUGUUGGUGGGGUAAUGGCCUACCAAGACUGUGAUCAAUAGCUGAUUUGAGAGGAUGAUCAGCCACAUUGGGACUGAGACACGGCCCAAACUCCUACGGGAGGCAGCAGUGGGGAAUCUUGCACAAUGGAGGAAACUCUGAUGCAGCGAUGCCGCGUGAGUGAAGAAGGCCCUUGGGUUGUAAAGCUCUUUCGUCGGGGAAGAAAAUGACUGUACCCGAAUAAGAAGGUCCGGCUAACUUCGUGCCAGCAGCCGCGGUAAUACGAAGGGACCUAGCGUAGUUCGGAAUUACUGGGCUUAAAGAGUUCGUAGGUGGUUGAAAAAGUUGGUGGUGAAAUCCCAGAGCUUAACUCUGGAACUGCCAUCAAAACUUUUCAGCUAGAGUAUGAUAGAGGAAAGCAGAAUUUCUAGUGUAGAGGUGAAAUUCGUAGAUAUUAGAAAGAAUACCAAUUGCGAAGGCAGCUUUCUGGAUCAUUACUGACACUGAGGAACGAAAGCAUGGGUAGCGAAGAGGAUUAGAUACCCUCGUAGUCCAUGCCGUAAACGAUGUGUGUUAGACGUUGGAAAUUUAUUUUCAGUGUCGCAGCGAAAGCGAUAAACACACCGCCUGGGGAGUACGACCGCAAGGUUAAAACUCAAAUGAAUUGACGGGGACCCGCACAAGUAGUGGAGCAUGUGGUUUAAUUCGAAGAUACGCGCAGAACCUUACCAACACUUGACAUGUUCGUCGCGACUUUAAGAGAUUAAAGUUUUCGGUUCGGCCGGACGAAACACAGGUGCUGCAUGGCUGUCGUCAGCUCGUGUCGUGAGAUGUUGGGUUAAGUCCCGCAACGAGCGCAACCCUCACUUUUAGUUGCCAUCAUUAAGUUGGGCACUCUGAAAGAACUGCCAGUGAUAAGCUGGAGGAAGGUGGGGAUGACGUCAAGUCCUCAUGGCCCUUACGUGUUGGGCUACACACGUGCUACAAUGGUAUCUACAACAGGAAGCAAGACUGCGAAGUUAAGCAAAUCCCUAAAAGAUACCUCAGUUCGGAUUGCACUCUGCAACUCGAGUGCAUGAAGCUGGAAUUACUAGUAAUCGUGGAUCAGCGUGCCACGGUGAAUGCGUUCCCGGGUCUUGUACACACCGCCCGUCACACCAUGGGAGUUGGUUCUACCUUAAGGCAAGGUUUAAAACCCUUGACCACGGUAUAGUCAGCGACUGGGGUGAAGUCGUAACAAGGUA
rnacentral:rRNA from 1 species